AUUGAACGCUGGCGGCAGGCCUAACACAUGCAAGUCGAGCGGAUGAUGGGAGCUUGCUCCUGGAUUCAGCGGCGGACGGGUGAGUAAUGCCUAGGAAUCUGCCUGGUAGUGGGGGACAACGUUUCGAAAGGAACGCUAAUACCGCAUACGUCCUACGGGAGAAAGCAGGGGACCUUCGGGCCUUGCGCUAUCAGAUGAGCCUAGGUUGGAUUAGCUUGUUGGUGGGGUAAUUGCUCACCAAGGCGACGAUCCGUAACUGGUCUGAGAGGAUGAUCAGUCACACUGGAACUGAGACACGGUCCGGACUCCUACGGGAGGCAGCAGUGGGGAAGAUUGGACAAUGGGCGAAAGCCUGAUCCAGCCAUGCCGCGUGUGUGAAGAAGGUCUUCGGAUUGUAAAGCACUUUAAGUUGGGAGGAAGGGUUGUAGAUUAAUACUCUGCAAUUUUGACGUUACCGACAGAAUAAGCACCGGCUAACUCUGUGCCAGCCGCCGCAGUAAGAC
rnacentral:rRNA from 1 species